GAACGAACGCUGGCGGCAUGCCUAAUACAUGCAAGUCGAACGAGGGCUUCGGCCGUUAGUGGCGCACGGGUGCGUAACGCGUGGGAAUCUGCCCCUUGGUUCGGAAUAACAGUUGGAAACGACUGCUAAUACCGGAUGAUGACGAAAGUCCAAAAGAUUUAUCGCCAAGGGAUGAGCCCGCGUAGGAUUAGCUAGUUGGUGAGGUAAAGGCUCACCAAGGCGACGAUCCUUAGCUGGUCUGAGAGGAUGAUCAGCC
rnacentral:rRNA from 1 species